UACGGGGGGGGUAAGCGUUGUCCGGAAUUAUUGGGCGUAAAGAGCUCGUAGGCGGUCUGUUGCGUCGGCUGUGAAAACCCGGGGCUCAACUCCGGGCCUGCAGCCGAUACGGGCAGACUAGAGUUCGGCAGGGGAGACUGGAAUUCCUGGUGUAGCGGUGAAAUGCGCAGAUAUCAGGAGGAACACCGGUGGCGAAGGCGGGUCUCUGGGCCGAUACUGACGCUGAGGAGCGAAAGCGUGGGUAGCAAACAGG
rnacentral:rRNA from 1 species